rnacentral:rRNA from 1 species
AUUGAACGCUGGCGGCAGGCCUAACACAUGCAAGUCGAGCGGAGCGGGGGACGGGUGAGUAAUACCUAGGUCUGUGCAUGGUAGUGGGGGAUAAGGUACGGAAAUGGGAGCUAAAGCCGAAUACUAUUACCUGCGCCUAGGUCGAAUUAGCUAGUUGGUGGGGUAAAGGCAUACCAAGGCGACGAUCCGUAACUGGUCUGAGAGGAUGAACAGUCACACUGGAACUGAGACACGGUCCAGACUCCGACGGGAGGCAGCAGUGGGGAAUAUUGGACAAUGGGCGAAAGCCUGAUCCAGCCAUGCCGCGUGUGUGAAGAAGGUCUUCGGAUUGUAAAGCACUUUAAGUUGGGAGGCGUUACCAACAGAAUAAGCACCGGCUAACUUCGUGCCAGCAGCCGCGGUAAUAC